rnacentral:rRNA from 1 species
UACGUAGGGUGCAAGCGUUAUCCGGAAUUACUGGGCGUAAAGGGCUCGUAGGCGGCCAACUAAGUCGGAUGUGAAAUCCCCAGGCUUAACCUGGGAACUGCAUCCGAUACUGGAUGGCUUGAAUCCGGGAGAGGGAUGCGGAAUUCCAGGUGUAGCGGUGAAAUGCGUAGAUAUCUGGAGGAACACCGGUGGCGAAGGCGGCAUCCUGGACCGGCAUUGACGCUGAGGAGCGAAAGCCAGGGGAGCAAACGGG